UACGGGGGGGAGCAAGCGUUGUUCGGAUUUACUGGGCGUAAAGGGCGCGUAGGCGGCCAGUGCAAGUCAGUUGUGAAAUCUCCGAGCUUAACUCGGAAAGGUCAACUGAUACUGCUCGGCUAGAGUGCGGGAAGGGGCAACUGGAAUUCUUGGUGUAGCGGUGAAAUGCGUAGAUAUCUGGAGGAACACCGGUGGCGAAGGCGGCAUCCUGGGACCAACACUGACGCUGAGGAGCGAAAGCCAGGGGAGCAAACGGG
rnacentral:rRNA from 1 species